CUCAAAUGCUGAAAUUACUGCUUAAUACUCAGCGUUAGUGUUUUUCUUUUUCUUAUUUUAAGUCGGUUUAUAACUGUUUAUUGUGGUGAAGUUGCGACUGUCUCGGUAUUUCCGUUAUAGUUUUUAAGCAGCAGCAGUGGAAGGUACUUGUUGGACCUGCACCUGUACCCUGCUCACGAUAAAAAGAAGAAAGACAGUUUGUGGGAGUUUGGAGGUGAACUUUAGCUCGAACAAAGGGAAAAGAGAACCAACAAAACUGGACUUGUAACCAUUUUCCAAAGCCUGCUACCAUCUUUUAUUGUGGCAGUGAACUCCUUCCCACACACAGGCUGUUACACCAGGCAAGAGGAGACCAAGCUGUCAGCUCGAAUUCUUUUCCCGCUCAGCCUCUCACUUUUAACUCACCACGUGUGACCUUCGUCGGAGAGACGCUAACUGCACUGCUUUGCAUUGAUUAAACGUUCUCUUUUUAUAA